GAUGAACGCUGGCGGCGUGCCUAAUACAUGCAAGUCGAGCGAACAGACGAGGAGCUUGCUCCUCUGACGUUAGCGGCGGACGGGUGAGUAACACGUGGAUAACCUACCUAUAAGACUGGGAUAACUUCGGGAAACCGGAGCUAAUACCGGAUAAUAUAUUGAACCGCAUGGUUCAAUAGUGAAAGACGGUUUUGCUGUCACUUAUAGAUGGAUCCGCGCCGCAUUAGCUAGUUGGUAAGGUAACGGCUUACCAAGGCGACGAUGCGUAGCCGACCUGAGAGGGUGAUCGGCCAAACUGGAACUGAGAAACGGUCCAGACUCCUACGGGAGGCAGCAGUAGGGAAUCUUCCGCAAUGGGCGAAAGCCUGACGGAGCAACGCCGCGUGAGUGAUGAAGGUCUUCGGAUCGUAAAACUCUGUUAUUAGGGAAGAACAAAUGUGUAAGUAACUAUGCACGUCUUGACGGUACCAAAUCAGAAAGCCACGGCUAACUACGUG
rnacentral:rRNA from 1 species